rnacentral:lncRNA from 1 species
UUCUCUCCUGAUUGUUUUUCUCCCAAGUCAAGGUGGAAUCUAUUUUCCAGGAAUUCUGGCAUGUAGAAGAAUUCUGGAAUCAAUUCCUUCACAUCAGAUGUGUUGCCCUUCCCAGCAGCACUUAACCAAGUGUCUUUAACACUAUUGAAAAGUCGAUCAGCAUGAUCAAAUUGCCCACCCUGCAGCUUUUGAUUCUCUGCACUAAAUGGUGGCAGGCGUAGAAGAUAGAAGAGAACAAUUCCAGCACUAGAAUAGUGAGAACCAUAAUGAAAUUUUGGAACCUCUGGAUCAUCCCAGCUCUCAUAUCUGAAUAGGGAAAAAAAUGAAAAUAAUAAAUAAGCAGCAAAAAGAAAAAAUAAUGGCAGUUUAUACAAAAAAUUAACCUUUUCUUAAAUUCCUCUUCCCCUUCUGGCGUCUGACAGCCCAUUGGUUUGUCAAGCUUGCGAAAUGUUUUAGGAUUGGAUAAAUCCAGAUUUUCACUCUCAUAGUCUGCCAGUACCCAUGGAAACACUGGAUAUUGGGUGAGAUCACUGUAUCCCCUCCCAGCCAAUGUGUUCAGAUGCAUAAGGUAUUGGAAAUUACUAAUUUCUCCAUUUUGCCACCUUUUUGAGAAGGAUUUAGCCACUAUCUUAAAUAAACGACUGCCUUCAUUACUUUCUUGUUUAGUUGACCCAGAAAUUGUAGUGUCCAACCUGUAGCAAGGAAGAAAUUUUUGAAACAAGCCACGAGUUUUUGAGGACAAGGAAGAAACAAUAGGACAAUGUUAACAGGCACCACAGCAUAUGGAGAUCAAGAAUAUAAAUCCUUGAUGAUACCUAAGAUAUCAAAGGAAAAGAGAUCUCUCGAAAUAGAUUUGGGGACACUAUUAUCCAGUAGCAUGUGAAAACUGUAAUACAAGCUAUAUAUUCAGCAGACAGAGACACAAAACCAAUCUAACCAGCUAUUUAUUUCAACAGCAUCACUAUUUCAGAGCAUGUUUUAAGAUAUUUCAACUAGAGGAGGCUAGUUUAUGGGCUGGGAAGAAACAUGUAAAACUCUGUAGUCAGUGAAUGACAAUCGCAAACCUAGCAUUCACUUCAAAGCUUUUGAGAGACAGAGGCCCAAUUGGUUGCUGAGAAAUUCUAGAAUAAUAGACCAAAAUGCAAAACACAACAAAAAACCUGGGGAGAAGCACAAACAAAAACAACAUUGGAUCCCCAUUUGUUUUCAGUCUUUUCUCAUGGAAUAGUAUGUGCUCAACCUGUAAAGCUAUAUAGUUUUCUGACAUAUAGCAGUUUGGUUAGGAAUGCAUAACACACCUUCCCUCUCUGUUUAUAUCCAAAUAUGAGGUCUAUCCAGUGAUGCAGAUUUUGAGAAACAUAAUCAGAUUCCAACGCUUCUCGAUGCUUCUUAAUGAAUUCUCUAGCACUUCCUUUGGCCCAUGGAGGCAAGAAGACAUCACCCACCUUAAGAAAGACCAAUAUUAUAAGUUUACAAUUUUAAAUACCCAAAGCAAGGGAAAAUGAAUUGCACAUAGUGGAAAACCAACCUUCUCUCCUGAUUGUUUUUCUCCCAAGUCAAGGUGGAAUCUAUUUUCCAGGAAUUCUGGCAUGUAGAAGAAUUCUGGAAUCAAUUCCUUCACAUCAGAUGUGUUGCCCUUCCCAGCAGCACUUAACCAAGUGUCUUUAACACUAUUGAAAAGUCGAUCAGCAUGAUCAAAUUGCCCACCCUGCAGCUUUUGAUUCUCUGCACUAAAUGGUGGCAGGCGUAGAAGAUAGAAGAGAACAAUUCCAGCACUAGAAUAGUGAGAACCAUAAUGAAAUUUUGGAACCUCUGGAUCAUCCCAGCUCUCAUAUCUGAAUAGGGAAAAAAAUGAAAAUAAUAAAUAAGCAGCAAAAAGAAAAAAUAAUGGCAGUUUAUACAAAAAAUUAACCUUUUCUUAAAUUCCUCUUCCCCUUCUGGCGUCUGACAGCCCAUUGGUUUGUCAAGCUUGCGAAAUGUUUUAGGAUUGGAUAAAUCCAGAUUUUCACUCUCAUAGUCUGCCAGUACCCAUGGAAACACUGGAUAUUGGGUGAGAUCACUGUAUCCCCUCCCAGCCAAUGUGUUCAGAUGCAUAAGGUAUUGGAAAUUACUAAUUUCUCCAUUUUGCCACCUUUUUGAGAAGGAUUUAGCCACUAUCUUAAAUAAACGACUGCCUUCAUUACUUUCUUGUUUAGUUGACCCAGAAAUUGUAGUGUCCAAC